UACGUAGGGGGCAAGCGUUGUCCGGAAUCAUUGGGCGUAAAGCGCGUGUAGGCGCCCGGUAAGUCCGCUGUGAAAGUCGGGGGCUCAACCCUCGAAUGCCGGUGGAUACUGUCGGGCUAGAGUGCGGGAGAGGCGAGUGGAAUCCUGGUGUAGCGGUGAAAUGCGCAGAUAUCCAGGAGGAACACCAAUUGCGAAGGCAGCUCGCUGGAACGUAACUGACGCUGAGACGCGAAAGCGUGGGGAGCAAACAGG
rnacentral:rRNA from 1 species